GAUAAACGCUAGCGGCAGGCCUAACACAUGCAAGUCGAGGGGCAGCGGAUGAAGAUAUCAAUAUCUUUGGCCGGCGACCGGCGGAGGGGGGCGUACGGCGAAUGUAACCGACCAUUAACAGGGGACUACUUCGGAGAAGUAUGAUUUAAUCCCCCACAACUUCUUAAAGGGCAUGCUUGACGGAUGAAAGUUACCGCGGUUAAUGAUGGACAUGCGUUGGAUUAGAUAGUGGGCGAGGUAACGGCUCACCAAGUCUACGAUACAAUAGGGGGACUGAGAGGUUAACCCCCCACACUGGGACUGAGACACGGACCAGACUCCUACGGGAGGCAGCAGUGAGGAAUAUUGGUCGAUGGGCGGAAGCCUGAACCAGCCAUGCCGCGUGCAGGAUGACGGCUCUAUGAGUUGUAAACUUCUUUUGCAGAGGGGUAAACCCGGGUACGUGUACCCGGCUGAAAGUACCUUGCGAAUAAGGAUCGGCUAACUCCGUGCCAGCCGCCGCGGUAA
rnacentral:rRNA from 1 species